rnacentral:rRNA from 1 species
AACGCUAGCUACAGGCUUAACACAUGCAAGUCGAGGGGAAACGAUAUUGGAAGCUUGCUUCCGAUAGGCGUCGACCGGCGCACGGGUGAGUAACGCGUAUCCAACCUGCCCAUCACUUGGGGAUAACCUUGCGAAAGUAAGACUAAUACCCAAUGACGUCUCUAGAAGACAUCUGAAAGAGAUUAAAGAUUUAUCGGUGAUGGAUGGGGAUGCGUCUGAUUAGCUUGUUGGCGGGGUAACGGCCCACCAAGGCGACGAUCAGUAGGGGUUCUGAGAGGAAGGUCCCCCACAUUGGAACUGAGACACGGUCCAAACUCCUACGGGAGGCAGCAGUGAGGAAUAUUGGUCAAUGGACGAGAGUCUGAACCAGCCAAGUAGCGUGCAGGAAGACGGCCCUAUGGGUUGUAAACUGCUUUUAUAAGGGAAUAAAGUGAGUCUCGUGAGACUUUUUGCAUGUACCUUAUGAAUAAGGACCGGCUAAUUCCGUGCCAGCAGCCGCGGUAAUACGGAAGGUUCGGGCGUUAUCCGGAUUUAUUGGGUUUAAAGGGAGCGUAGGCCGGAGAUUAAGCGUGUUGUGAAAUGUAGAUGCUCAACAUCUGAACUGCAGCGCGAACUGGUUUCCUUGAGUACACACAAAGUGGGCGGAAUUCGUGGUGUAGCGGUGAAAUGCUUAGAUAUCACGAAGAACUCCGAUUG